rnacentral:rRNA from 1 species
GACGAACGCUGGCGGCGUGCUUAACACAUGCAAGUCGAACGGAAAGGCCCUGCUUUUGUGGGGUGCUCGAGUGGCGAACGGGUGAGUAACACGUGAGUAACCUGCCCUUGACUUUGGGAUAACUUCAGGAAACUGGGGCUAAUACCGGAUAGGAGCUCCUGCUGCAUGGUGGGGGUUGGAAAGUUUCGGCGGUUGGGGAUGGACUCGCGGCUUAUCAGCUUGUUGGUGGGGUAGUGGCUUACCAAGGCUUUGACGGGUAGCCGGCCUGAGAGGGUGACCGGCCACAUUGGUACUGAGAUACGGCCCAGACUCCAACGGGGGGCAGCAGUGGGGAAUAUUGCACAAUAGGCGGAAGCCGGAUGCAGCAACGCCGCGUGCGGGAUGACGGCCUUCGGGUUGUAAACCGCUUUCGCCUGUGACGAAGCGUGAGUGACGGUAAUGGGUAAAGAAGCACCGGCUAACUACGUG